CCCUUAGAUGUUCUGGGCAGCACGCGCGCUACAAUGGUCUUCGCAAACGGAUGCAUUCUCGAAGGAGAAUGCCAAUCUUGGAAUCUAUGCCUUGGUCGGGACAGUUGCUUGCAAUUUUUCGACUCGAACCAGGAAUUCCUUGUAAUCGUGAUUCAUCACAUCACGAUGAAUACCUCCCUGCCCUUUGUACACACCGCCCGUCGCUCCUACCGAUCGAAGAGUUAGGUGAAUUGUUUUGAUCGAUAAGAUUUGACUAUGGUCAACUCUCGUUGUGAAAUUCUGUGAAUCUGACUGUUUAGAGGAAGGAAAAGUCGUAACA
rnacentral:rRNA from 1 species